rnacentral:rRNA from 1 species
CGGCGGACGGGUGAGUAACACGUGGGUAAUCUGCCUUAUACAGGGGGAUAACAGUUAGAAAUGACUGCUAAUACCGCAUAAGCGCACGGGGACGCAUGUUUNUGUGUGAAAAACUCCGGUAGUAUAAGAUGAGCCCGCGUCUGAUUAGCUGGUUGGUGGGGUAACGGCCUACCAAGGCGACGAUCAGUAGCCGGCCUGAGAGGGUGAACGGCCACAUUGGGACUGAGACACGGCCCAAACUCCUACGGAAGGCAGCAG